UACGAAGGGGGCUAGCGUUGCUCGGAAUUACUGGGCGUAAAGGGAGCGUAGGUGGACUGUUUAGUCAGAGGUGAAAGCCCAGGGCUCAACCUUGGAAUUGCCUUUGAUACUGGCAGUCUUGAGUACGGAAGAGGUAUGUGGAACUCCGAGUGUAGAGGUGAAAUUCGUAGAUAUUCGGAAGAACACCAGUGGCGAAGGCGGCUCACUGGUCCGGUUCUGACGCUGAGGCGCGAAAGCGUGGGGAGCAAACAGG
rnacentral:rRNA from 1 species